AAUAAAUAAACGUAAUAAUAAUAUGUAAAUUGUAUUUAUAAUAAAAAAAGAAAUAAAUUCAAGUUUUAUUAUUAGAAUGUGGUAUUGUAGAAGCGAUCUUAUCGUAUGUCAUUGUUAUUGAAUGUGAAUCUACGUCGUUAAUCAUUUUUUCGUAGAAAGUAAAGAGUCAUUGUUAUUUUAUUUCUCGUUCUACGAUACGUAUUUUAUUUUAUAUAAAAACAUGUGGCCGUUUUUACUUUCGAUAUUUGCCCUAUUUCACUUAGCUUCAGCAUCAGGUAGUUUUGAUUUUGGUGAUACAUUAGCAUUAAUCUUGGGUCUGAUUAUUGGAAUUAUGGGAUUUUUUGCUUGCAUGGGAGCUUAUGCAAGACGACGAAAUCAUUUUGAAUCUUUGUGAUCAUGGAAAAGAUAUUUAAGUAAAAUUUAUGGAUAUAAGAAAUAUUUAAAACUAUACAGGAUUCUAUAUUAGAAAUGUUUAAAAGGAAGAUCACAUUGUAUAUAUAUAUAUAUAUAUUAAAACAAGUAUCAAGAAAAUAUUGAAAAUUAUUAUAAAAUGAUAAGUGCUUAAUUAUUCGAUUAUAUUGGAAAAUUGAUUUUUGGAAUAGUAGUAGCAGAAAAUAUUGUACAAUGUAUAAGAGAAUGUAAAAAAUAUUUGUUUUGUAAUCA